ACUUGGGUAUAUAAACGACACAAACUUAUUUAAAUAAAGCUUUGAAUUAAGAAGCAUAAGAUGAUCAAAUUUGGUACUUGUUUAGUCUUGGCGAUAUGGACCGUUGUGUUUUUGUCUGCAGAAGUACUCUGCAAUUGCCAGUGGAAUGUGUAUGACGUAAGCUACCAAGACGCGUUGGGCAUACUCACAUCAACGUGUUUAGUAUUUCGCAUCGCAAAUCAUUCAGAAAAUAGCGAAAUAAAUAAAUAAUUAAGAUGAAUAAAAUAAAAACUGUGUAUUAUAGCAAUUUGAAUUUUCCAACAAAAAUGUAAUUGUUUUCAAGCAAAACGUUUGUCAGAAUUUUAUACAAAUUUCAGAAAACUAAAACUUGUGCAGGUUAUAUGUUAACACAUUCAGAUUUAAAGUUUAUGUUACGCUGACCAAAGUUAUCGUGGGUAUGCUCAACCUUAUGCUUAUAAAUAGCUUACAAUAUUAACCUCUUACAUUUCCUCAGGUUUCCCAUGUUAUCUUCGAGCACCAAAUUUGUGGAGACGCAGCUCAGAAUGGUGUGUUCCGGUGCACAAAUGGGGGUGCCACCGCCACCUAUGUGCUUUCAUCAUCAUUUUUUGAUGCCAGGAGAUGUGGUGAUGAUGAUGAUGCGGAGGUGCCAUCCCCCAGGUGGGCCAAAUGUACACCGCGUUAUUUGGUUGGCUCUCCCCGUUCUUCCAUAAGCGUCACUCGAAUACAUAAGAUCGAUUCUUCUGGUAGAAUCUAUAUUCUGUGGGAGAAUGGGCAAUUUCAAUAAUUGCGUAACCCAGCAAUACUUGCAGUAAUGGGCCGACUAAAGUCAAGGCCAAGAAUAUACGAUCUCUAAUGCACGAAUUUAGAAUUUUUUCCAGCACUUUUACACUUCUAUAAAGUGACAACUUCCCAUCUUGUCCCUCAAGUCCUUUACAGUCCAGCCAUAAACAGCCAUGCCCGUGCCAGUGGUCGAGAUUACGUAGUGCGCGCCUGAAACAGCAACAGUUUGAUAUCCAACAAACUCAAGAAUGACCAAUCCGACCGGAAUCAAUGUCCCGUUCCAUUCUGAGUUGCACAACAAUGAAGAAAACAAGGGUGGAAAGCACGGCCAAAUAAUGCACAGCAAUGCCACGGAAAUGGGGACAAGCCAACUUCCAGAGUAGACCAGAUUCACUAGUAUGGCUAAGCAUUUAUGUAGCCUCCCCGGGAAUACCUUUGUCUGCAAGUUGUAAAUAUUUAAGUGACAGUCUAUAACUUUUGAAAUUUUUACAGAUGUAGAUUUUACAGUAGAUUAUACAGACCUUUCCUGGCCUCAAUGUAGUUUAACAGUUGACCCGGCGUGGGAUCUCGAUUGAUGUCGAAAAGGAGGAAGAAUGCUAAAAAGUAGGCGCCACUCAACGCCGUUCCCACAACGGCCUGAUAAAAUGUGACGAUUUCAUUAAAAUUGAUACCAUUUGGCAUACAAGAUGGAAGGCGUGGAAAGUAAUCCAAAAAUAUGUUACGGUUUGUUUCCCUGUUUUGGUCGGUAUGAACAGAUCUUUGUCUUUAUUGAACGUUAGAAAGAGACAGUUGUAGAAGUCUGCAAUUUUGAGGAAGCGUUUGAUACCGUGGAAUGUAUGGGAAAACAUUUUUUGUAGAUUUUAAGGCUUAAUAAGUAUUGGGUGUACAAAUAUGUAGAAUGUCUGGGAAAUUUUAGGAGGCAGUUCAAUUCAGGCAGGUCUACAUUUAAGUUUACUUAAAAUUUUACUGCUCAAGAUUUACCAGAACGACUUACUCGAGAUCGGAAGUGAAAUGUUUGAACACGUGUGUAUAACAUACACACGUAUUUUAGUGCAACUUCGCUAGUUAUUGACUAGUAGUCAGUUAAGGUGGUAUAGUAUGCGGGUUUUGAGUUUGAAUUGUUGAUUGUUGAAGGCGAUUUUGAAACCUGUUCAUCUCCGUGAGUUUUUCACAAUAUGAAGAUUUUAAUGCACCUAAAAAUUGUUGAUUUUUACAAAGUUAGAAUGGUGUGAUGUUGAUUUUUGUCUUCCAAGAGAAAUAUUUAAGUUUUACUGAUUAUUUUUCGUCUAUUUUAUAUUUAUUUUCUCAAAAUCUCCAUUUGAAUAUAUGGAAGAAGGGAAAGUUGAGACACAACAAUUUAAACUCAAAACCCGUAUACUAUACAACCUUAACAUUUCCCGUGUGUUCCUCUGUACAUUAUGUGUCUACGUACAUAACAAGUGAUAUCAAAUCAAGCCGUAUUUUAUUCAAGUGUAAAUAUGUACGUAUCGGUUUGCAAAACUAGCUCUAAAUAAAUAUAUGUAUGACACAGGAAGCCGCUAAGCUAUUAUGAAUGUGUGUAAAUAUUUAAACGGUAUCAAAUAUACAUAUAGGUAAGUAUGCUAAUACCAAAUAUAGAUUCCACUUGCAUUGAGUUACUUCAAAGUUGAGUCAAUAUUUCAAAAUUUAUUUUGUCCAAUAUUUCUUCAUUAUAUACAUCUGUAUUUGUGCAUGCACACAUUUGCAAAUGUUACAAUUUAAUCUGACUAAUAUCGCAAAUUCUGCGCGUCAAGGGAGUAAGUACGUAUUCCUUGAUGUGUUUGAUCGGCGCGUAGUUUCGAUGUUUAUUCGGUUGUGCAAUAAAAUUAAGAUGCGCGUUGCUUAAUGAAAAAGCAUAUUUUUUAAUGUAUAUAAAUUCAAAUUUUAAAAUCAUAAAUAGUCUUAAUCAUAAUUUUAAAAUCAUAAAUCAAUUUUAAAAAUCAUAAAUUCAAAUUUUAAAAUCAUAAAUAGAAUCAACAAAAAUAGACAUAAGCAUGAAUUGAAUCCGUUAAGUUAUUUUACCCCAACAAUAGCAAAUUAACGAUUUGUAUAGAGCAAAAAUGCUGCACGACCAGCGGUGUCAACUCGUCCACGAAAUUAUUCCCAAACCUCAAUCUAACCUGGGUCAGGGAUCUUGCAAAUCUUGUCUCCAAUUUCCCCCUUGCCCUGAUCCUAACUCCGUCCAAGUAAUCGGCACUUUUCGAGUAAAGUUUUGCCGACCCGGUGAACAACACCAUGUUGAAAAGGAUGCCAUCCACCAUCCCAAAAAAUACUACGAGCAGAUGGGUCAGCUGCAUGGCGUCGAAGUGCUUCACGCAUGCGUACGUCGUAAUAAUUUGGAUGCCUGGAACCGUCGCGGCGAAGACGGGAAAGAUUCGGAAUCGCGUGCAUGAAUUCAAGAGCUGUUCAAAAACUUGGACUUGCCUGGAAAAAAUAAAAAAAAAUGAUAUUGCGGAUACAAUUCGUUCGCUAAUUUACACUGUUAGAACUCUGGUAUAGUCAAGCAGGUAUUGAUUCCUCAGUAUUAAAGUUACUAGCGCUAGGUAUUAAAAUUAUACAUCCGUAAAACAUUGGUACAGAUAUGGAAAAACUUUAAUAACGAGCUAUAUCAGGACGACUUUGAUAGAGUCAUAUAAAUACCGCUUGGUAUUAUUUUAAUACUGGAUUUCUAAUGGUGUAUGUAGUCAAUUGUAAGAAUACAAAUAAAAUUCUGAUCUGUAUGUAGCUUACC